rnacentral:rRNA from 1 species
AUACGAAGGGGGCUAGCGUUGCUCGGAAUCACUGGGCGUAAAGCGCACGUAGGCGGCUUCUUAAGUCAGGGGUGAAAUCCUGGAGCUCAACUCCAGAACUGCCCUUGAUACUGAGGAGCUUGAGUCCGGGAGAGGUGAGUGGAACUGCGAGUGUAGAGGUGAAAUUCGUAGAUAUUCGCAAGAACACCAGUGGCGAAGGCGGCUCACUGGCCCGAGACUGACGCUGAGGUGCGAAAGCGUGGGGAGCAAACA